AGUUUUCAUGCCCAAAAGUAAAUGGUGUGGGUAUUGGGUGGGGUUUUAGCAAAACAUUAAACUGCAGACUAUCUGAUGAUGUUGUUGCACCGGUCCUUAAUAUUACACAGAAGAAACUUUUUGUAUUUCAUGGCAUCAUCUGCAGCUCCAAAUUCUCACCACAUCCGUAAACUUACAGAAACAACAAUGCAAGACAGCAGGGGUAAAAAAGCUAGGUCAAUAUCUACUGAAGCAGCUUCUUUUUCACCCUCUUCUUCUUCAAUGAAAGAGUCUUUCUCACAAUACGCUGAAUACCUCAAUAAAUUCAACGACAAGAGGGAACGUCUAGUGAAAGCUAGUCGUGAUAUUACCAUCAAUAGCAAAAAGGUUAUAUUUCAAGUGCACAGAAUCAGCAAAAACAACAAAGAGGAGGUCUUGGAGAAGGCAGAAAAAGAUCUUUCUGCUGUUAAAGAUCAGUAUAUAGCCCGGCUAGUAAAUGAAUUGCAAGGGAGUGAUUAUUGGAAGCUAAGGCGUGCAUACUCUCCUGGGAUACAAGAAUAUAUUGAAGCUGCAACGUUAUGUAAGUUUUGCACUACUGGUGCUUUGUUGAAUCUUGAAGAGAUAAACGCCAUCUUGUUACCGCUAAGUGAUCCUUCUUUGGAGCCAUUUCAAAUAAAUAUCCUUGACUAUAUAUUGGGUCUUGCUGAUCUGACUGGAGAGUUGAUGAGGUUGGCAAUUGGUCGGAUAUCAGAUGGGGAACUUGCAUAUGCAGAAAAGAUAUGCAGAUUCGUGCGUGAAAUUUAUAGAGAACUUACACUUGUUGCUCCUAAAAUGGAUGAUAGUUUAGAUAUGAAAACAAAGAUGGAUGUCAUGCUUCAGAGUGUAAUGAAAAUAGAAAAUGCUUGCUACAGUGUUCAUGUGAGAGGGUCCGAAUAUAUCCCCCUAAUUGGAACAAAUGAUACAAGCUAUGCCUCAUUGGGAAUGUCCGAGUUUGACUAAUGAAUUCUAUGUGAAUCAAUCUUUUUGACGAGUCUUGUGCAUCUCCAUCAAGUUGACUUGUUGUUUUAACAAUGUGGUCUUCAGUAGAUAUGCUAGUGCGUUGUGUUUCUACUGAUAAUGUUUCAUGCUUAGAUUAUACAACUAGAAAUGGCAAGGUGGACGUGUUGGCUGGCUUGAUUUACAUCUGAAAUAGGUUCAGGUUGAAAUGGUUUCUUUUAGGGUUAAAAGAAACUGGAUUGUGCUGUGUUGAACCAAUAGCAGUGUUUUUCUUGUUACCCGAAUAAAUAUAAAUAGGUAAUACGUUAAAUGAAUGGUGUAUACGAAUAGUUAUAUAUAUCUCUGAAUAAGCAAUUUAUGGGGUUU